rnacentral:rRNA from 1 species
GACGAACGCUGGCGGCGUGCUUAUCACAUGCAAGUCGAACGGACAGGCCCUGCUUUUGCGGGGUGCUCGAGUGGCGAACGGGUGAGUAACACGUGAGUAACCUGCCCUUGACUUUGGGAUAACUUCAGGAAACUGGGGCUCAUACCGGAUAGGAGCUCCUGCUGCAUGUUGGGGGAUGGAAAGUUUCGGCGGUUGGGGAUGGGCUCGCGGCUUAUCAGCUUGUUGGUGGGGUAGUGGCUUACCAAGGCUUUGACGGGUAGCCGGCCUGAGAGGGUGACCGGCCACAUUGGGACUGAGAUACGGACCAGAAGGGUACGGGAGGCAGCAGGGGGGAGUAUUGCACAGUGGGCGGAAGCGUGAUGCAGCAACGCCGCGUGCGGGAUGACGGCCUUCGGGUGGUAAACCGCUUUCGCCUGUGACGAGGAGUGAGUGACGGUAAUGGGUAAAGAAGCAACGGCUAACUACGUG